rnacentral:rRNA from 1 species
UUUUACCGUCUAGUCCCUCCCCUAGUUUUAGGGAUCGUCGGAGGUAAAGGUUUCACUCGGACCGUGUGUAGAGAGAGGGAGUAGGGAGGAAGAGGUGGAGGCCGGUAGUGGCGUCGGUCCGGCCGCACCGCCACGCGGUGGUCGAGGUGGUGAGGUGGUGUUGGUCGUAGUGGUGGGUAGGUAGGUAGCGCGCGGGUUGCGGGCACGACGGGAGAAGGGGGUACAGGGACGACGGGAAGAUGAGGAGGAGAACGACAACAGAAGAAGGGACUUGAGGAUUGGGACGAUAACGAGAAGAGGAAGAAGAAGAGAGUUGCGAGGACGACGAGGAAGAGGAACGUAGGGGAACGACGACAACGGAGUUGGACGACGAAGAGAGAGGGACUGCGGGGACGACGACGAUGAUGAGAUUAGAGGUUGGACGACGACGAGAAGCGGCCGCGGGGAACGACGAGGAGUGAGCGACUUCGCGACGAGACUUGGGGAGAACGACGGCAUAAGAAGAUCCUGGGGUUGACAACAACAAGGGGAAAAGAGAGAAAUGAAGAGUGCUUAAAGAUUUUAGUCAUACUACUUAUACCACAUGACAAGACGUGUGUAAUAACCACGGAAGUACACAAAAUACCAGACGAUGUUAAAGUUACAUGAACACAUUUUGAUAUGUUAUAAACCAAAGAUCACAGACUUAGGAACACAGAUAAUAACAACAUGAUUAUAAACAGUCGCACUUAACCGAUCACACUACACUCGGGAUAUGAACACGAAAUAUAAGGACAACCACAGAUCACAAGUCAAACACCAUAGGCACAAUCGAAACAUGGACACUAUAUUUAUAUAUACAAGCACAAAACUAUAUAAAAACAGGGACAGUAUAAUAACAAAGAAGGGAGACAAUAUACAUACUAUCAAUAUAUACACAGGAACAGUACAAUGAAGGGAGAACAAAAUCAGAUACGACAGUCAUCAUUAGACUUUAUGGUUAUUCUUUCGUUCAAGUUUAGAAAUAUAGGGAGACGAAGAAAAAAGUAAAACAAACAGCAGUUGGAACAAAUCAAAUCCAAAAUAAAAGACGUAGGCAGAGAAUUUUAACACAAUGGAUCUAAAUCGGCUCGUAUCAGCAGCAGCGGAACAGGGACACCCCUUGUGCUGUGAGCGUCAAGCCCGUUUUAUAGGGCUACAUGGAAGUUAACUAGUAAAACCGUGACAAAGGCCCCUGAUCGCAGCUCGCUAACACAAUCCGAUAUCUGAUCCAAAAAGAAGAAAAAGAUCAAACACGGUAUAUAAACACUAUAUAGAGAUUGGUGAUUGGGAACAAGAUCGAUCAUAGAAAAACAAAAGAAAAGGAAAACGUCCAAUCUCGAUAGACGAGCCAAUACCGUAUAAUAAAUCUAACAGAGCCUCUACGCUCCUUGUGAUAUUUGUCGUACAUUUGAUAAGUUCUUGACUAUUCCUGUAAGUGGGUGAUUUACAGUCGCACCAAUGAGAGUGAGAGGGCUAACAAUACCGUACUCGAAGCGGGGUGUCGGAUCGAGUAUGGUUUUGUUAAUGAGUAUACCCACCGGACUCUUGGUCUUAUACAGUAUAUCCUCGUUGUUGGGACUCUAGAGUGACAAACGAAGAUCAUUAGUAUACGUCCCUAAAUCCAUGUUACUCCUCUCGGUGUUGAUACGAGGUGUUAUCUAAAUAAGUCGAGGAUGAGUAUAUGGAGUUGUGGUCCUCUACAAAGGUUACCUCAAUUUACCAUGAGGUAAACCAGUUGGUUGUUGAGGUCGUUGGCAGCUCGUUAGAGUACACGUUCACGGGUGUGUUCUACUUAAACUACUAUGUCUGUUCGAGUGUAACGAAUCAGAGCUCAAGUAAACCUCACGGCUCCUACUAGGAUAAUCCUUCCAAUAUGAUCUCCUUUACUUCUUCUAGUUCUCACCUUUUCUCGAUCAACUUCUUCAUUCCUUCUAACUCUUCUUGUAGUUGCGACCGUCGUGAUAAAGAAGUAUCGAACUCGACUCACAAAGACCCUAAUGGGAACUAUGUAGACUCCAAGGUUGUGGAAGUAUAGGUCGGUUCCUUCUAUCAUUCACGGAACUCCUUCUCUAUAGAGUCUAACUUCUUCUACUUGAUCUUCUGUUCCUUGUUCUACUGGUUCUCGAACUUACGGGUUCACUAGUUCUGCUUCUAGGUAACGGAUAGUGAGGACUUCUUCAUUUUCUUCGAGGACAUCAACUUCUACUUCUUGAUCUUUAAGUAAACGGGUAGCAGUAGGUUCUCGCACUAUAUCGUCCAAAUAGAUUAGGAGAGUUACUGUACGCAGGUAUACUUAACAAAGGAUGAUGGAACGUAACGUACUACAAUAGACAAUUUCAUCUAAACUUCUUCACAAACGAACCUAUACUACUAUGUAUAUGACAACCACCGUAACGAGUAUAAUUACUACUAGUGUGAAUAAAAGGAGUACGGUUUGGAUACGAAUUACUAUUUAUAGUAGGAGUACAAUCAUAACUCGAACGACUAAGGAUAGUAUGAGCGGUACAAGAAAUAUCGAUACGUAUACAUUAACCCAUGAGAUAACUACUAAAUCUCCCGUAAUGGGGAAAGUGAACAUAGAGAAAACAGCUCACGAGAAAGUCCAAAAGCGAUGACGUGGCAAGUGAUGUACGACUGGUCCAAGCUCCACUGUAAGGAACCCUGGCGCCACCUAAAUCUCGUACCACUUCUCCUCUUCGUUACCCGUGUAUGUUCCUUCUCUUUUCGACCUCGCACGUGCUCCUAUCUCUCGUACUCCUAUCUCUUCGUUUUCCUCUCCUCAGCGCUACGUUCUUCUACACUCUAGUAGCUCGCUCAAGAUGAAGUAUUUCGGACCACUCGAUAAAGUACUGGGGUUAUACUUAUAUAGUAGAUAACUAUGUUCGACUUUAGUUAACGAUCAACCCAACGAACUCGGUCAAUAAUGAAUAACAGUUCGACUUUAAGUGGAAACCAUACCACGAACAACACUUAUACACUUGACUUAACACUUACGGAACAUUUGAUCACUAGAUGUAUGACGAACGAAACGACUUUAAUCACUUUCAAUAAUCAAAACUCACGAGUUUAGGGAUCAUGUGAUCUUUUGAUGGUAGUAAAAGACGUAAAUGAAACUAUGUGGAUCUAGUAGUUCACAAUCUACGACUAAAACACGGUUCACAGAAGGGUAGGUCUGGUUAGUGAAUUGGUGAUACCUAAUCGUACGAUAUAAGAGACCUAGUCAUCGUACACUUGGUCUUUACCUACUCACUACUAAGAACAAAGGAAGGAAUACAAAGUACGGUAACAUUAAGGAAACAAGUUAUACAGUAUUACUUAUAUUCAGAUCAGAUGGACGUCAUCGUACAGUACAAGGGACUUAGCCACCGCACAAUUUAAACCAUCGAACCUGUCGUUAUUUAUUUAUUUUUACGUUAUAAACAGCUUGGUACACAUAUGGUACAAGAGCCCUAGCCACCAUACAAGGAAACUACUCUGACUAUUUUAUAAUAGUAACGAAGGAAGUUUUAAGUUAUUCAUCAAAUCGGUAUUACAACACAAGGACCAUUGUUCAUAAAGACCCCUAGUACGAGAGAAAUCCUUGGAAAACCGUGUUAGACGUAAAUUUGAACAACUAGGUGAAAUAGUAACAUUUUCAAAUUUUACUAGCUCAGAUGAUCAUAGGAUAACGAAACAUCGUAGGAUUGGUAAUUAGAAGUGAUUGAUUCAGACUUCGUACGUAACAAACCUCUAGAUGAAAUGAUCCUGGAAGAGAUCAGUCAAGUGAUAAGUAUGAGAACGAGAACACUAUACGGAAACGAACUCCUGUUCUUUCUAAAUUCACACCCCCUUGAACGAUAUCUUAAAGGAGUAUAUUAGAAAAAUCGGAAAAACGUAGUUUAACAUUAGUAUAAAAGUAUAAUAAAUGAGCUUUCUAUAAGUUUAUGCGUAUAAUACAGUGUAAAUGUUGUGAUGAGGUAGAAAACGUCUUUUACCGCUUUUCCGGGUUUAGGAAGAUAUAAUGUCACAGAUUCUCCAACACCAACGACGUAAAACGCUUCCCUGAGCUCAUACUUCUUAAUUACUUUGCUUCCCGGUUGUGAUUUCUUCUUUCCCUAGAUGAACUCCGACUUCUUCUCUUCUUCCUCCCGUUUUCACGUUUUACCGUCUAGUCCCUCCCCUAGUUUUAGGGAUCGUCGGAGGUAAAGCUUUGGCUCGGACCGUGUGUAGAGAGAGGGAGUAGGGAGGAAGAGGUGGAGGCCGGCGGCGGCGCCGGUCCGGCCGCACCGCUGUACAGUGGUCGAGGUGGUGAGGUGGUGUUGGUCGUAGUGGUGGGUAGGUAGGUAGGCGUGGUGUAGGUGGAGUGCGUUGAGUGGUCUGUCUCCCGGCCGCCACGGACUAGGUAGUGCGCGGGUUGCGGACACAACGGGAGAAGGGGGUAGAGGGACUACGGGAAGAUGAGGAGGAGAACGACAACAGAAGAAGGGACUUGAGGAUUGGGACGAUAACGAGAAGAAGAAAAAGAAGAGAGUUGCGAGGACGACGAGGAAGAGGAACGUAGGGGAACGAAAACAACGGAGUUGGACGACGAAGAGAGAGGGACUGCGGGGACGACGACGAUUAUGAGAUUAGAGGUUGGACGACGACGAGAAGCGGUCACGGGGGAACGACGAGGAGUGAGCGACUUCGAGACGAGACUUGGGGAGAACGACGGCAUAAGAAGAUCCUGGGGUUGACAACAACAAGGGGAAAAGAGAGAAAUGAAGAGUGCUUAAAGAUUUUAGUAAUACUACUUAUACCACAUGACAAGACGUGUGUAAUAACCACGGAAGCACACAAAAUACCAGACGAUAUUAAAGUUACAUGAACACCUUUUGAUAUGUUAUAAACCAAAGAUCACAGACUUAGGAACACAGAUAAUAACAACAUGAUUAUAAACAGUCGCACUUAACCGAUCACACUACACUCGGGGCAUGAACACGAAAUAUAAGGACAACCACAGAUCACAAGUCAAACACCAACAAUCGAAACAUGGAUACUAUAUUUAUAUAUACAAGC